rnacentral:rRNA from 1 species
UACGGAGGGGGCUAGCGUUGUUCGGAAUUACUGGGCGUAAAGCGCGCGUAGGCGGCUUUGUAAGUUAGAGGUGAAAGCCCGGGGCUCAACUCCGGAAUUGCCUUUAAGACGUGCAUCGCUAGAAUCGUGGAGAGGUAAGUGGAAUUCCGAGUGUAGAGGUGAAAUUCGUAGAUAUUCGGAAGAACACCGGUGGCGAAGGCGGGC